CAUGUUUACUAUUUAACAUUCUUAUGUCUGGUACCUUUCAAUUUUCAUCUUUAUUUGAGGAGUGGUACCUUUGAAUUUUAACUUAGUGUUGUGCUUUCAGUAUUGUGACAUUUCACAUACAUUCUUUCAUUCAUACAUUCAAUACAUAAUUCGUUUUCAUGUGACUAUAAACCCAUUACCUUAGCAGUUUUCUAUACUGCCGUUACAGCCUAACAAACGGUUUCUCUCUUGCGGCCGGACUCCCGCUCAGCCGCACAUGCGCGUCUC